CGUCAAAAGCCCCGCCCCGCAUUUCAGCGGUUUUUCGUCAGGCACGAACUACACGUCCAUGGUCCACAUCUCUACUAGAUUGGCGGAGUUUGACUGAGACGGAACGUGACUAAUAUGGAACCAUGAAGACUUGAACAGGAAGUCACAACAGUCUUUAAGAACAUGAGGAGCAUCAGCCUUUGUAUCACAAUAGCAACUACUUAGGACUACAAAAGCAAGACACCUGGCCAUACAGAACAUAGGACCUUCUGACUGCUAAUUUGGACUCCACGGCUGACACACCCUGAGAAUGUCAGCAAAUGUCCAGUCUCUCCACAAGAAAAUGAAAGCACCAGUGUUAUUUUUAUUUUUAAAAGAGUCAGCUUUUCUGACAGUGAUUUCAAGUGUUGCUCAGUUUUAUAUAAGUCCGUUCCGUCCUGAACAUCCUGAGAAUGUCUUUUGUUUUCCUUCUCAAUGAAUUUCUGCCUAUAAAAUCCAUGAGGAAGUGAAAGCUUCAGUGUUUUUAAGUUUAUAAAAGAGCCCAAUUGAUGGAAUUAUAGAAUUAGAAAAUUUGCGCUAGCAAGACGUUCUAUGGCCAUGUGUUUGUGGUUAUGUUAUGUAGCAAUUUAAAUAUAUCUAUGCCAUUUCAAAUGUGAAAUAAAAGUGUAUUUCAAACAAC